ACUAUAGCUUCGCAGUGACAACUUUGAUCGAAUGUGUAGGAUAGGUGGGAGGUGGUGACACACAACGUCCAAUCCUGAAAGACCACUCUUUCGUCUAAGGAUGCCUAACCGCCGCACCGAAAAUUCAGGGGGGGGCGGGACACUACGAGGUGGGUAGUUUAUCUGGGGCGGGUGCCUCCUAAAGAGUAACGGAGGUGUGCGAAGGUAGGCUCAAGCUAAGAUUCUGCUCGUGAGCGUAAUGGUAUAAGCCUGCCUGGUCCGAAUUCAUUUUCCUUACCAACCCCGGCUCAACCUAGCACGACCAGUACAAAUGCCCUAGUUCGAC
rnacentral:ncRNA from 1 species